rnacentral:rRNA from 1 species
UAACGGAGAAAGCUUUAUGCGCCGAAGGAUGAGCCUGCACUUGAUUAGUUUGUUGGUAGGGUAAUGGCCUACCAAGACUUUGAUCUAUAGCUGAUCUGAGAGGAUGAUCAGCCACAUUGGGACUGAGACACGGCCCAAACUCCUACGGGAGGCAGCAGUAGGGAAUAUUGCACAAUGGAGGAAACUCUGAUGCAGCGAUGCCGCGUGAGUGAAGAAGGCCUUUGGGUUGUAAAGCUCUUUCGUCGGGGAAGAAAAUGACUGUACCCGAAUAAGAAGGUCCGGCUAACUUCGUGCCAGCAGCCGCGGUAAUACGAAGGGACCUAGCGUAGUUCGGAAUUACUGGGCUUAAAGAGUUCGUAGGUGGUUAAAAAAGUUGGUGGUGAAAUCCCAGAGCUUAACUCUGGAACUGCCAUCAAAACUUUUUAGCUAGAGUAUGAUAGAGGAAAGCAGAAUUUCUAGUGUAGAGGUGAAAUUCGUAGAUAUUAGAAAGAAUACCAAUUGCGAAGGCAGCUUUCUGGAUCAUUACUGACGCUGAGGAACGAAAGCAUGUGUAGCGAAAGAGGAUUAGAUACCCUCGUAGUCCAUGCCGUAACGAUGUGUGUUAGACGGUUGGAAAUUUAUUUUUCAGUGUCGCAGCGAAAGCAUUAAACACACCGCCCUGGGGGAGUAC